GCAGUCAAUCCCAACAUUGAGCUCUCCUCCCUCUACAAAACCUCCGACCACCCUGGCAAAGAUCUCGACGGCCUCAUCUAUACAGUGCCUCUUCCUCUUCCCAUUCAACCCUCUGUUCAGAUCCACUCUUCCUCUUUCCUAUUUUGGGAUCGAAGUAUAUUAAACAAAAAAGAAAAGGAAGACGCCGACUAUGAAAUUCUUACGAGAUCUAUAAUUGAUUUCAUCUCAGAGUCCAUAGACUCCGACUCGCCAACUCAGUGUGGUUCACCGUUCACUCCCUCACCGCCUCUCUCUUUUUCCGGCGACCUCUAUUCUCUCCGAAACCUCUCUCCGUCCGUGAAUGAUUGGCGUCCGAUUCAAGCAUUUUCUUCCUCAAUUGAGCAUCGUCGGAUCUUGUAUCUCACUUGCAGCGAUUCGUGUAUAGCUUGAUCUCCAUGGCGUCGAUUUCAAGUGGUUUCCGUGAGUACUUGAAACGUAGUCUCACAAGAGUUGCUAAGAUCACUGGGACUGAAGUUGAGUUGUUCUUUAAAGGAACCGCCAUUGAAGGUUAUGAUUUCCGGUGCACCGGCUUCUGGGAAAGGAACUCAGUGUGAAUUGAUUGUCAAGAAGGUAACCAUUUUCAUAGGGAUUGAAAUUGGAGACUAAGGAACUGAGUAGUUUACAUUUUCUUUGCUAGGAUUGAUAUAUGCAUCAUUUAGUUUGGAUUGGUGCACAUAUCAACAGGGGACCUUCUAAGAGCUGAAGUGUCAUCUGGGACUAAAAUUGGAAACAAAGCCAAAGGGUUCAUGAAUGCUGGCAAGUUGGUUCCUGAUGAAAUCGUCACAGCUGUAUGUAUUCUAUGCAUUCACAUGAGUUAGAAAUAUUGCAUUUUUCAUGACUCCGUUAUCUAAUUGGUAACAUAAUCACAUGCAGGGAUUGCUAACUAUGUUCAUAUAUGUUUGUGUUGUAACUCUUGAUCCUCAAACAUUGGAUUGUUUUAUCCCUUGGUAAAACAAUGGAGUUGUAACUUCUAAGUAUAAUAAGAGUCAAA